rnacentral:rRNA from 1 species
GACGAACGCUGGCGGCGUGCUUAACACAUGCAAGUCGAACGGAAAGGCCCUGCUUGCAGGGUACUCGAGUGGCGAACGGGUGAGUAACACGUGGGUGAUCUGCCCUGCACUUCGGGAUAAGCCUGGGAAACUGGGUCUAAUACCGGAUAGGAGCCAUUUUGAGUGUGAUGGUUGGAAAGUUUUUUCGGUGUAGGAUGAGCUCGCGGCCUAUCAGCUUGUUGGUGGGGUAAUGGCCUACCAAGGCGGCGACGGGUAGCCGGCCUGAGAGGGUGGACGGCCACAUUGGGACUGAGAUACGGCCCAGGCUCCUACGGGAGGCAGCAGUGGGGAAUAUUGCACAAGGGGCGCAAGCCUGAUGCAGCGACGCCGCGUGGGGGAUGACGGCCUUCGGGUUGUAAACGCCUUUCGCUAGGGACGAAGCUUUUUGUGACGGUACCUAGAUAAGAAGCACCGGCUAACUACGUG